rnacentral:rRNA from 1 species
AGUCGAGCGGGCGUAGCAAUACGUCAGCGGCAGACGGGUGAGUAACGCGUGGGAACAUACCUUUUGGUUCGGAACAACACAGGGAAACUUGUGCUAAUACCGGAUAAGCCCUUACGGGGAAAGAUUUAUCGCCGAAAGAUUGGCCCGCGUCUGAUUANCUAGUUGGUGAGGUAAUGGCUCACCNNNGNGANAAUAUCANUANCUGGUCUGANAGGAUGAUCAGCCACAUUGGGACUGAGACACGGCCCAAACUCCUACGGGAGGCAGCAGUGGGGAAUAUUGGACAAUGGGCGCAAGCCUGAUCCAGCCAUGCCGCGUGAGUGAUGAAGGCCCUAGGGUUGUAAAGCUCUUUUGUGCGGGAAGAUAAUGACGGUACCGCAAGAAUAAGCCCCGGCUAACUUCGUGCCAGCAGCCGCGGUAAUACGAAGGGGGCUAGCGUUGCUCGGAAUCACUGGGCGUAAAGGGUGCGUAGGCGGGUCUUUAAGUCAGGGGUGAAAUCCUGGAGCUCAACUCCAGAACUGCCUUUGAUACUGAGGAUCUUGAGUUCGGGAGAGGUGAGUGGAACUGCGAGUGUAGAGGUGAAAUUCGUAGAUAUUCGCAAGAACACCAGUGGCGAANNNGGCUCACUGGCCCGAUACUGACGCUGANGCACGAAAGCGUGGGGAGCAAACAGGAUUAGAUACCCUGGUAGUCCACGCCGUAAACGAUGANNGCCNGCCGUUAGUGGGUUUACUCACUANUGGCGCAGCUAACGCUUU